rnacentral:piRNA from 1 species
UGCAAAUCUACCUGGUUUCGCCUCCUCCGAU